UACGUAGGGUGCAAGCGUUGUCCGGAAUUAUUGGGCGUAAAGAGCUCGUAGGCGGUCUGUCGCGUCUGCUGUGAAAACUCAGGGCUUAACCCUGAGCUUGCAGUGGGUACGGGCAGACUAGAGUGCGGUAGGGGAGACUGGAAUUCCUGGUGUAGCGGUGAAAUGCGCAGAGUAUCAGGAGGAACACCCGGUGGCGAAGGCGGGGUCUCUGGGCCGUAACUGACGCUGGAGGAGCGAAAGCCAUGGGGAGCGAACAGG
rnacentral:rRNA from 1 species